GAUGAACGCUAGCUACAGGCUUAACACAUGCAAGUCGAGGGGAAACGAUAGAGAAAGCUUGCUUUUUCUAGGCGUCGACCGGCGCACGGGUGAGUAACGCGUAUCCAACCUGCCCACCACUUGGGGAUAACCUUGCGAAAGUAAGACUAAUACCCAACGACGUCUCUAGAAGACAUCUGAAAGAGAUUAAAGAUUUAUCGGUGAUGGAUGGGGAUGCGUCUGAUUAGCUUGUUGGCGGGGUAACGGCCCACCAAGGCGACGAUCAGUAGGGGUUCUGAGAGGAAGGUCCCCCACAUUGGAACUGAGACACGGUCCAAACUCCUACGGGAGGCAGCAGUGAGGAAUAUUGGUCAAUGGGCGAGAGCCUGAACCAGCCAAGUAGCGUGCAGGAUGACGGCCCUAUGGGUUGUAAACUGCUUUUAUAAGGGAAUAAAGUGGGAGUCGUGACUCUUUUUAGCAUGUACCUUAUGAAUAAGGACCGGCUAAAUUCCGUG
rnacentral:rRNA from 1 species